GACGAACGCUGGCGGCGUGCCUAAUACAUGCAAGUAGAACGCUGAAGGAGGAGCUUGCUCUUCUGGAUGAGUUGCGAACGGGUGAGUAACGCGUAGGUAACCUGCCUGGUAGCGGGGGAUAACUAUUGGAAACGAUAGCUAAUACCGCAUAACAGUAGAUGUUGCAUGACAUUUACUUAAAAGGUGCAAUUGCAUCACUACCAGAUGGCCCUGCGUUGUAUUAGCUAGUUGGUGGGGUAACGGCUCACCAAGGCGACGAUACAUAGCCGACCUGAGAGGGUGAUCGGCCACACUGGGACUGGGACACGGCCCAGACUCCUACGGGAGGCAGCAGUAGGGAAUCUUCGGCAAUGGACGGAAGUCUGACCGAGCAACGCCGCGUGAGUGAAGAAGGUUUUCGGAUCGUAAAGCUCUGUUGUAAGAGAAGAACGAGUGUGAGAGUGGAAAGUUCACACUGUGACGGUAUCUUACCAGAAAGGGACGGCUAACUACGUG
rnacentral:rRNA from 1 species